UAUAUAUAUGUGCUUAGAUUUAUAAUUAAAAUUGUGAUGGACCCAUUAAUGGCUCCCAUUCUAAUUUGUUUGUUACAACUACAAACUUUUGAGCUACUUGAAUUAAGAUUAAAUAAAGGAUGCAUAUUGCUUUAGGCUUAGCAUUUAAUUUGCAUAAAACUUAAUUUAGCACUAGUAUUUUCUCAAAAAAAAACUUGAGCACUAGUAUAGCGUAUGUACUACGUUAAAAUGACUAUUUCUGGAGUUAAAAUGGGUUUAAUUUGAGAGAUAGGUAGCACGCUACCCGCUUCGUUUAUUUCAUUUAGAAAUAAACUUAACUGAAAAUGUGAAUCAACUAGGAUUCGAACUUGAGUCUCGGGUAUCAACCACCAAAAUCUUUGCCACUUGCUACGGUUGGUUUAUAUUCUUAUUAAUUAGUAAUUAAUGGAAUGCAUGCAGUAAAAUGUUGUUUCCCUAUUACAACAUCCCACAUAAAGCCUUUGAGGUCCAAGCCCAACUUAUCGGCCCAUAUAUACAACAAGAUUUCGUAGAAAUUCGUGUUUUUUUUUUUGAAUUCAAAGUGUUUAAACUUUAAAAUAUUGGUUUAAUUUCCUUCCCUGAUGGAUAAAUCAAGAAAUAACACGUAAGUUUCUUGGUAAGUGGCCAUAUUUAUGUCAAAUUUUUUUUUUCACUUCGUAUUAAUUAAUUUCAUAUGUACUUCCACAUAGAGCUAGGUUUCAUACAUAUACGCUGUAAAUUUCGGAGUCCACCUGAAUUAGGCUUUUCUAUCACUAAAAUUAUUUUUGAUAUAGAGCAUCUAAAUCAAUGAUCAAUGAACAUAGUUUUCAUUAUUUAAAAAUCUAGAAAUAAAAUAAUCAUUGAAAGUUUUUUGCAUCACGUGGGGAUGCAAACAUCUAAGUACUUGAAAUAUAAGAAGAAAAGCGUUAUGUCCGCUUACAAAUUCUACAAAAUUUUUUUUGAAACAUUGCAAAGCAUUAAUUACAACUAGCAGAAGCAUUAUCCACUGAAAAAUUUUCAAGGACCAUUAUCCAUUCAAAUCACUGCCAAAUGUACCUACAAAUAUAUGACAUGCACGUAGAAAUUAAGAAAGAUAAGAUCAUAUAUAUAUAUAUAUAUAUAUCCUUACGUGUGUAGCACCAAUGGGAUUGAAUAAUGUGAUUCACGGGAGUAAUAUUUAUCUUAUCCUCCAAACAUGCAUGGUAUAUAGAACUGUCACUUCAACGAGAACUCGGAAAAGAUAGUAAGUGGAGCAUAAAAAGAAAGAUCGUGCUACAGGUUCCUUGUAGAAUUAAUUUUGUAAGUUAAUGCUGAUCUAUUAAUAAUAUGACUCAAUAUCAAAUUUAAUGAUAUGCAAUAUUGCUAAGUACGGUCUAGGCUAUUUAAUCUUUUUUAAAAAUCAUAUUUUCAAGUGGUCCUAAAAUUGACAAAUACUAGGUAAAUUUGAGACUUUGAUUGUUAGCAUUGUAGAAUUAUAAUUAGCUUAGAUUGCCUUUAUUAUUGAUCGAUGAUUAUCGAUUCAGAUGCUAUAUCAUUGAAAGUGACAUAGAGGUUAACAACUUUAUCUACAUCAGAAAUAUUCUAGUUCACCCUAAUAGUGUUAUUGCAUAUUAAUAAUAUUGUAAUAACAACAAUUAAAGAGAUUAUUAUUAUUAUUAUUAUUUUCAAAAGAAGCAGGGGCCGUGAUAACUGUCCGAGUGGAUAUGUUGGCUUGCGUGGAAGUGCGGUACAUUAGACUCUUUUGCUUAAAAUGACCUCCCCAGAAUCCUUUUCAAAAGUCAACCCUAUGUACGAGUGCUCGUUUAGUAUCAAGGCCCACAACUACUGCUAUUAAUUAAUAAAGCAUAGUUGGGACGAAAGCAAGUAAGAAAUUUUUUGUUUUUGUUUUUUGAUAGAAUUAUAGAAAAUAUAUUAUAAUUAAUUUAUUGCGAUAUUCACAACGUAAUAUUAAAUAUAAAAACAAAUAGAAUAUAUUUUUCAUCGUCAUUUUUUUACAGCAUGUAAUGUAAUUUUAUAGCAAUUUCAAACUGAGCUUUAAUUAUGAUUGACAUAGACAAUUUCUUUGCACGUUGGAGAAAUAGGUAACAAUAAUGUGCAGGAUGAAAAUUGGAUGAAUCAUAUAAUGGAUGCAUGUGGAGAUAGAAUUCCAAUUUGUUUGGAAAUAAAGAGAUUUAAAACCAACUAUUAUAAUGCUUUAUCAAAAACGUAACUUUGAUGNAAUGGAUGCAUGUGGAGAUAGAAUUCCAAUUUGUUUGGAAAUAAAGAGAUUUAAAACCAACUAUUAUAAUGCUUUAUCAAAAACGUAACUUUGAUGGAAAAAAAAAAGGUCCAAAGCUAAUUCAACUUUUUUUUUUUUUUUCAGAGAAAUAGGUAGCAUGCUACUCGCUUCGUUUAUUUCAUUUAGAAAAAAACUUAGUUGGAAAUGCGAAUCAACUAGGAUUCGAACUUGGGACCUCGGAUACCAACCAUCAAACCCUUUGUCACUUGCUCUAGAAACGGCCGGUAAAGCUAAUUCAACUUUGACACCAAGAAAUGCACUACUCAGUACUAUCUAUAUCCGAUGCCACCGUGCCCUACAGUAAUGCCAUAACAGGCCCUUCAUCGACAUCCAUUUCCGUAUUGUUAUCUUAUCUUCGACAAUUUAACUCUUCUAUCCCUGUAGGGCCUUCUCAUUUCAACGUGUAUAUAUAUGAGGUAGCUUAACGAGUGACAAACGCACCAAGGAGAUAACUUUAAUUGCUCUCAUAUAUAUACAUAUAUGUCGAUCCGUAGAGGAGUGGUGCUACUGUUGCUUAUCUUCCUACUAGUAAUUAGUGUAGAGUUCGAGAUCACCAUGACCGAAUCUCGGUUGAUAAGCGCUAACAACGAAGAACGUAGCCAUGAUCAGAUAUUGUUGCAUGUGUAUCAUAGUGUUAUUUGGUCCCCGCGAGAAGGCGAUGGUGAUGGCAAGCGAGACGUGCCCAGUGGACCGGACCCUCUGCACCAUGGCUCGGCGCCCCAAUCGCCCUAGACAGAGAGAGAGACAAAGAGAUGCACCGCAAGAAAAUAUACAUGUAGCCUUAAUCAGGCCUUCUAUACAAUUUUCGUUUUAGUGAGAGAGCUUGAGAGAUUUUUGCUCAAUUUCUGAGAAGCAGGUGCAGUUAAAACUUAUUUGCCGCGCGUUUUAUUUUCUUGUACUCUUUCUUAAGUGUGGAUUUGCAUAUUGAAGGGAGGCCUAGCUAGGGAGAAUUGAUCAAGAACACUUGAAUAAAUUAAAGAAGUAUAACAAACGAAAAAAAAAUUAUAGUAAUAAUGAAUGUUGUAUUAUGGGUAAUAUAUAUAUCUUGUUAGUGUUGUUUAUCUCGAUGAUAAUGCAGAAUCAUUUAUGCCGAUAUCUAUAUUUUUUUUCAUCCUGAAUUACUUCUUUUGUAGUCUUUUUCUUAUUUAUCUUUCCUCCACCUCUUCUGCCAUAUGUGCAACUUAUUUAGCCCAUCAUUGCCUUGGGAUUGGUUCAUCCGCCGCCGCUCAUUUACAUCUAUCACCUCAUUUAGGCGUUUGGUUUGACGUAAAACUGCGGAAAAAAAAUUUUUGGUGAAAAAAAAUAUUUUAGGAAAAAAUAAAUUUUACGCUCUAGCGUUUUGGUUUAUAUUUUUUUUUUAUUUUUUUUUUUUUUUUUUUUUUUUUUUUUUUUUUUUUUUUUUUUUUUUUUUUUUUUUUUUUUUGUUUUUUUUUUUUUUUUUUUUUUUUUUUUUUGGAAAAAAAGAGUUAGUUUUCCGUUACGGUUGUUUUGGUUUGAAAAAAAAAUAAAGGAAAAAAAGAAAAAAGUUAGAUUAUAAAUAAAAAAAAAUUAUUAUUAGUAAUAUAGUAUAUAUAUAUAUUUAUAUUUUUAGUAUAUAUAUACUAGUAAAAUGUACGUGCAAUGCACGUAAUAAUUAUUUAGAAAAAUUUUAUAAUUUUUUUAAAUUAUUUUAAUUUUAGGCAUAUGUUUAUAUGGAUUGCCAAAUAUAUAUCUAAAAAAAUUAAAAUAAUAAAUCACGUAUUAAGAAAAGAUAUCUUGUAAAUGAUACAAAUAAUAACAAUAAUCUCUAAUGCAAAAAAUUACUUUUGAAAUUAAAUAGAAAAUAAGAAUCUGUUAGAAAUAAUUUUUUGAAUUAAAUAGAAAAAUAAAAUCCGUUAUCUUAAAAAGGAAAAUAUAUUUUGAAAAUAAAUAGAAUAAUAUCUAAAAAAAGAUAUUUAAAAUAAAAGUAGAAAAAGAUUCUUAUAGGAUUUUUCACACCGUAAUCUGUUAUAGAAAACGAUAAAUUAUAAAUUAUAUAGGAUCAAUCACUAAUCUGUUUAUAGAGAACUUACGUAUUCAUUGCUAUUUCUAUUCUAUUUUUCUUAUAUUUAAAAUUUUUUUGUGUUAUAUUGUUGUUAAAAUGGCGCGAAAAAUGAGAGUAUGUUGUCGACAGACCCAAAUUUGAACUAUACGUGCUUUUUAUAUAUAUAUAUAUAUUAUGUAUUUUAUAUAUAUAUUAUUAUAUUAUAUUAUUUUAUUUAUAUAUUUUAUAUUUUAUAAAAGAGCAGGUCUACUAUACGUAUCUAUAGUCCGAGCUCGGUCAUAUAGGUUGGUUUCGAUGCUUAGGCGUUCAAAUCAACGAUCCACAUUGUUUUAAAAGCUGAUCUAGAGUGUUUUAAAGUUUUCUAGAAUAAAAUUUUAUAUUUUUCAAACAUAGUUUAUUUUUUAUGUUUAUUUCAAAAUUUUUGUCAAUUUUAUUGUUUAUUAUGACGAGUUGAAGUUUAACGGUGUUAGAAGAAUCUAAAAUUCUUCCAAAUUUUGAUUAGAAAAUACUUUUAACUUAAUAGAUUCUCACGAUUAACAUCUUUGAUCUUGAAUUUAAAAGUCCUAUGCUCAAAAUAUUACAACCUGUUAUAAUUUUAUUUGUAACGAUAUCGAAAAAGCUAAAAUUUUAUCUGUAUAUUCAUAUACCUAGUAUUAACGGUGGUGGAUCGUUGAUUGAUCGGCCCUAAGAUUAAAAAACAAACACUAUGUACCGGAGCUCGGUACUAUAGAUGAAGUAUAAGCUAAUUCUAUAUAAUAUAAUAAGUAAUUAGUAAUAUAUUAUUAGUAUAUUAUAUAUUAUUAAUAUAUAAUAAUUAUCAUAUUACUAAUAUUAUAAUUUAUAUUUGUAAAUAAAAUAUAUUUAAAAUAUAUUGUACAAUAAGUAUAUAAUAUAAUAUAAUAUAAUAGUAUAUAUAUAUUUAAUACUAUAAAAUAAAUUUAUAAAUAAUAUAUAUAUAUAUAUAUUCCUCUUUCCCAAAAUACCGACCCCUAUUAAUUUAAUUCCAAUCACAUACUAAUAAUAUCAUUCAUUCAACUUUAAUGAAAUUUAUGCUUAUCCAAAUUUUUGUCAACUCAAGGACAUUUGCUGUAGAAUAUUUUUCACAAGCACUCUAUAAAAUAAUAUUCCAUACUUAUCAAAGAAAUGAAAAUCUCUAUGCAACAAACAUUGAAAAUAUUUUGUAUCUACUAUCUCUCAAUUAGCUAAUUAAAAAAAAUUAGGUUUGAAAAAUAAAAUGAUUUAAAUAAGCUUAUCAAAUCAACUUUAAAUUUUAAAUUUGGUUUAUAAUUUCAAAUGUGAAUUAAUAUUUUAAUUCAAAAUUUGAAAUUAAUUAAAAUUUCAAUAUUUUGGGUGUGUAAACAGUAUUU
rnacentral:lncRNA from 1 species